rnacentral:lncRNA from 1 species
UGAUUCUUAUUUUUCCAGAGUGGUAAGUUCUUAAACAAUGAUGGGUACUGCAUCUUGCUAUAGCCAUGUAUGUUACAUCUUGCUGUGGCAGAUAAAUAGAAAGAAUGAUGUUAAAGUGACACAAAUUUUAUUUCGCGUGGCCAAGCUCAACAUCCUUUGCUGGGGAUUCUUCAAUUCUCUGCUUCAACAAUUCCACAUGCUCUUCCAAAAGGUUGUUUUUUGUAUGACCGAUGGUCUUGGAAUCGGGUUCCCUUUUCUCAGCCUCGACUGCCCAACUGUAUACUAUCAUGCCAAGAACAGCUACCGUCAUCCCUAAUAUGUUUUUCACUGUCAGCUGAGAAUCAAAAAGCAGCCAUCCUAACGUUAAGAUACAAACUGUUUUCAUGUGGCCUAAAACUUGGAAAGUUACUGCCGAGAAACGUCCAAUGCAGAGAUACUGGCUCACAUUGCAGAAUACAGCUAAUGAGCACGAAAGAAGUAGAACAAGCUGCACGAAUUGCAAUAAUUGAUUUAGUAAGAUCUAUGCAUCAAUCACGGUAAAUGGAUUUGUUAAUGAUGUGUAAGAAAUACUUACAAAUGCACUGGAAGAAAAACGAUAAUUUGACAGAAGUUUGCCGCUGAGAUAGUAAUCAAUGAAUGGACCGAAGACAAGAAGGGAGACUGCUUGUAUUGGAGCUGUCUUGCUAAGCAAUUCAAAUGAACCAACGGAGUACUUCUUCUGUAAGGAACCUAUUGACUAUUCAAAAAAAGUAACCACAAACAAAAUUCAAUGGCUGAUAAUUGAAUCUCUGGCUCUGAACUCCAGGAACUUAUAUACGCAAAGCAUAAUGAGUUCAUUUUACAGUAUUUGAAGUCAUGCGAUAGCAAUGGUGAAUUCGAACAACUAAAGGCUUCAUAUCCUGGAAACUUUUAUCAAAUGUUUGAUAUUUCUGACAUCGGCAGGAAACAAUUACUGUCCAUACGAUAAGAGAAAGAAGAUGACACUUACAAUCUGCUGUAAGGUUGUAGAGAAGACUUACUGUCGAUACGAUAAGACAAAGAAGUUAAGUUCUUACUUAUUAGUGAUGCAUAAUUCAGUUACAAAUGUUUGUGGUAAAAUUGUGGGGAAUGACAAAUGUAGAGAAAUACAAUAAUAAUAGUGGAACUUUAUUAUGUAAAGUAAUGUGUUUACAACUAACUCUGUAUGUAGGAAGAAACUGUAGAAAUUUUGUGUGCUUCAAGGCACGUUAAAAAUGUCGCUUUCCUUAAGACGUUAUUUGCCCCCACCAAUUGAGUGAUGCACAUGGGUUAAGCAAAUGCGCCUCCAGGAUACAAUGAAGUACUUGUUUGUUUGCUUGAGUUGUGCAUCGACGAAAGCAAACCAGAAUACUCUUGAAUGUUGCAAGCCUGCCAAGAAACAAUAUAUUGUUCCUGCAGAAAACAAUAUAUUGGAAUGUGAAUGCACAAAAGAAAUGAGUGUUUUGUGUUGAAAUUCGUACUAGAAAGGAAUGCUAAGAAAAGAGUGGUGUAGGAUCAUUCAUUUCAUGUCUAAAUGGCUUAAACAUGACCCCUAUUUAUAGAUAUACUUGUGCCCCCUCAUUUGGGUUGUCAUCUUUCAUGAUACCCCUUCAUUCAUGGCCAUUGGAUCUAGAUUUGAUUUUAAUCAAUGGUCCAAAUUGAAUCAUCACUAUUUCAAAUGAAAUGUCACCAUGAAAUGAUGCAUCUCUAAGUGAAAUGUUGCCAUGAAAAUUUAUAUCAUUUAGUAAAAAUAUACCUUUUCUACAAGACACAAUUAAAUGGACAUGUCCUUACAACAAGACAUCAUUUAAUUAGACAUGUCUUUAGUGAAAGGUACAUUUUCUAUAAGGCACAAUUAAUAGGACAUGUCUUUAUCAUAAGACACAUUUAUUUUGAAAAUUUUCAACAAUCCCCCACCAUUUUCAAAAUAAAUGAAUUUUGAAAAAUUAACUUGCACAGGCUUGGAAAACUUAUGCAUAGACGAAGGUGUCUUUUGGACUUGAACUUUCACUUAGUGACAAUACAUCAAAGUUAAUCAAUGUGGCAUGGUAGGCAAGCUUUGAACCAGCAACCUUAAUCGACUAACCGGAUAUAUCUCACACAUAAGUUUUCAAAUUCUCAAGUAUUCCUUAGCCGACACGUGGAUUGGCCCUGUGUCUAUAUCCUGUUUUCAUGAGCGCUUUAGUAACCAGCCAAGUUACAUAGGAAGCGGCACCACCUCCUACACUCACAUAGGUAGAGUUAUCUAGAAUGUCCCUGUAACUAAAACAUUUAUAAGUCCAUUAAAAGCUAAGUAGCUUAACCUUUCCCAUAUGUUACAGGUAUCAAGCACUAACCUUUGGGACGCAUCUAAAAAUAUUAUAGUGCUUGCUAUCACAACAUAUGAUGUACUUUUGCUCAUUGAACCCAAGAUCUUGAUAUUUCAAGUGUUGGGUUGAGUUUCCAUCAUUGGUGAUAAGAUGAUGCUGGCUUCAGUCCCAUCCCCUUAGAAGUUUUAAAUACAAUAUCCCUUGCAAGGCCUUUAGUUAAGGGGUCUGCCAAAUUUUGGCAUGAUUUCACAAAGUCAAUUAUGAUUACUCCAUCUGUAAGUAAUUGUCUUACAUAACUAUGUCUUAGACCAAUGUACCUAGACUUUCCAUUAUAGAUUUGACUAUAUGCUCUUGAUAAAGUUGCCUCACUAUCACAGUGAAUAGAUACAUGAGGCAUUGGUUUAGGCCAAAUAGGAAUUUCUAUAAGCAAAUUCCUUAACCAUUCAGCUUCCUUGCAACAUGAAGCCAAAGCUACAAAUUCUGCAGCCAUGGUGGAGUCUGCUAUACAAGUUUGCUUCUUUGAGCCCCAUGAAAUAGCUCCUCCACCAAGAUUAAAAAUCCAACCACUUGUGGAUGUAUGAUCAUCUCGAUCGGUAAUUCAACUAGCAUCCGAAAAUCCUUCUAAAACUGAAGGAUAUCCAGUGUAGUAUAUACCAUAAUCCAUUGUAUGUUUUAAAUAUUUUAGAAUUCUGUACACUGCUUGCCAGUGUGCUUGGCUUAGAUUACUAGUAUAUCUACUGAGCUUUCCAACAGCGAAAGCAAUAUCAGGCCUAGUACAAGUCAUCACAUACAUAAGACACCCAAUAAUACGUGCAUAUUCUAAUUGGGAUACUGAUCUGCCAUUGUUAGGAUACAGUCUUAUGUUUGAAUCAAAAGGUGUGGACACAGACUUACAAUCAUAAUAAUUAAAUUUCUUUAAAAUUUUCUCAAUAUAAUGUGAUUGAGUCAAUACUAGGCCAUUCUCAUUUUUUAUAAUUUUAAUCCCCAAAAUCACAUCAGCAAGUCCCAUGUCUUUCAUAUCAAAAUUAGAUGACAAUAAUAAUUUAGUGAGUUCAAUGCUCUCACUAUCAGUACCAAAAAUUAACAUGUCAUCUAUAUAUAAACAAAUAAUCACACCUUUAUUUCCAUUGAAUCUGCUAUAGACACACUUAUCAGAUUCAUGAAUAUUAAAUCCAUUUGAGACAAUCACUUUGUCAAACUUUUCGUGCCACUGCUUUGGAGCUUCUUUAAGACCAUAUAAAGACUUGACUAGUUUACAAACUUUAUGUUCUUGUCCUGGCAUAACAAACCCUUCUGGUUGUUUCAUGUAAAUUUCCUCAUCUAAUUCUCCAUUUAAGAAAGCUAUUUUUACAUCCAUUUGAUGGAUUUCAAAUUGAUAAAUUGAAGCCAAAGCAAUCAAGACUCUAAUAGUAGCAAUUCUUGCAACAGGUGCAUAAGUAUCAAAAUAAUCAAGGCCUUCUUUUUGUGUAAAGCCUUUUGCUACUAGUCUUGCUUUAAAUCUUUCAAUUGUUCCAUCAACUUUCUUUUUCUUUUUGAAAAUCCAUUUACAACCUAUAGGAUUAGAGCCAAGUGGUAAAUCAACUAAUUUCCAAGUCUUAUUACCCACAAUAGAGUCCAUUUCAUCAUUAAUGGCCUCUUUCCAAAAAGCACCAUCUUGAGACUUCAUUGCCUCUUCAUAGGUGAGGGGAUCAGACUCUAUAGUAGAUGUGAUCAUGGUCUGUUUUGAUUGUGAGUCUCUUGUCCCUUCAACUAAAUAGACUAUAAAAUCUGGUCCAAAAGAUUUUAUAGUCCUUAUUCUUUUACUUCUUCUCAAAAGAUUUUGCUCAUUAUUAACAUCACGCUUUUGACUAAUUUCUAUUUGUUUAUCAUUCUCUUGAGAAUCAAUACUCUUGGUAUAGUGGAAAAUCUAUUUUCAUAUAAUAUUGCAUCUCUAGAUUCCACUAUAGUAUUGAUCUCAACAAAGCUAUUAGGUUCUAUUACAAGAAACCUAUAAGCUUUACUAUGCUCAGCAUAUCCCAAGAAUAUGCAUUCAAUGCCUCUUUCUCCUAAUUUCUUUAUCUUAGGUUUUGGUAGUCUUACAAUGGCUCGACAACCACAAACUCUUAGAUAAGAAAGAUUAGGCUUUCUCUUUUUCCAUAAUUCAUAUGAGGCCACCUUUGUUUUCUUAUUAGGCACUCUAUUUAAGAUAUGACAUGCAGUUAAAAUAGCUUCACCCCAAAAACUUUUACCAAGCCCAGCAUUAAAAAGCAUAGCAUUAACCAUUUCUAUUAAUGUCCUAUUUUUCCUUUUAGCUACGCCAUUUUGUUGUGGAGUAUAUGCAGUGUUAGUUUCAUGUACAAUGCCAACAGAUUCACAAAAUUCAGAAAAAGUAUAUUCACCUCCUUUAUCACUUCUAAGGCAUUGAAUUUUAGUGUCACAAAAAUUCUCAACUUCAUUUUUAUAAGUUUUAAAUUUUUCUAACACUUGAUCUUUAGAAUGUAAUAAAUACACAAAGCAAUAUUUUGAAAAUUCAUCAAUAAAUGUUACAAAAUAUUUUUUACCACCUUUAGAAGGAUUACUAUGCAUAUCACACACAUCGCUAUGAAUUAAAUGCAAUAAAGAAGAUGUUUUUUCAAUUUUUGGAAAAGGAGAUCUUGUGAUUUUAGUCUGUGCACAUACUUUAUAUUUUUCAUGCAUAUCAUUUUCAUGCUUAGGAAUUAACUCUAAAUUAGCCAUAUCAUGCAAUCUUCUAAUAUUCACAUGUCCUAAACGAUUAUGCCACAAAGAUAAUGAAUCAACCAUAUAAGUAGAAGAAACAUUCAUAUUAUUGAUAUUGAGUUUAAACAUUCCUUCAUACAUGUAUCCUUUCCCAACAAAGGUACCACCCUUAGAUAAUAUAAAUUUGUUUGACUCAAAAACAAGUUUGAAGCCAAACUUAUUAAGAAGGCUACCAGAUACAAGGUUUUUCCUAACUUCAGGAACAUGAUAAACAUCAGUAAGAGUUAAAGUUUUUCCAGAAGUAAACUCUAGUUGCACAUUGCCUUUUCCUUUAACUAUUGCAGUGGAGGAAUUUCCCAUGUAAAGAACACUUCCACCAUCCAUUGCUUUAUAAGAUUUGAAAAGGCUACGAUCCUUGCAUACAUGCUUAGUUGCACCAGAAUCUAUCCACCAUGCAUUAUCAUCUUCAAGAGCAUUAAUCUCAUAUAUCAUGGCCACAAAAUUUGUGUUUGAAACUUCCUUUUGUUUCUUCAGAAGUCGACAAUCUCUUUUGAAGUGGCCAGGUUUUCCGCAGUGGUGGCAUGUAUUCUUUUUUUUUCUUCUUAUUGUUUUGAUUCUCUUUGGAAUCAAACUUUCUCUUUUGAUUAUUUUUAGGGUGAUUAGAAUGUUUAAACUCCUUCCCUUCCUCUACGACAUUAAUUUUAGAGGACGUAGUAGUCUGAUCCUCAAAACUAUUAAGCUUGAGUUCCUCUUUAAUACGAAGACUUUGGCCUAAGCCAUCCAGACUAAUUUCCUCUUUGUUAUGUUUAAGACUUUUCUUAUAGUCUUUCCAAGAGGGAGGAAGUUUAUCAAUAAUUGAAGAGACAAUAAUAGACUCAUCCAUUUUCAUGUUAUGUUGGUUGAAUUGAUCAAGAAUAUGCAAAAUCUCAUUAUAUUGUUAAACCACAAGUCUAUUAUCAACCAUUCUAUAAUUAAAAAAUUUAGAAGCCAAGAAUUUCUUACUUGUGGCAUCUUCCAUCAUGUACUUAGCCUCUAAUGAGUCUCACAUCUCUAUUGCUGUAGGUUUGUUGUGAUAUUGAUCAAACAAAGUAUCAUACAUGGCAUUGCAAAUGUGUCCCUUACACACGUAGCCAUCUUGCUCCCACUUAUGUCGCACUCUGGUUUCCCCUAAUGUCUCAUCCUCACGUUCUUGAGGCUUUGGUGUUGUGAGAACAUAGACUACAUUGAGGCUUGUCAACAAGAAAUGUAACUUUUUCUGCCAACGAAUAAAGUUGCCACCAUCGAACCGCUCCAAUUUGACAAAAUCUACUGCGAAUUUUCGAAGAGAUGAACUUGGUGCCAUUGUUGCAGAAAUAACGUCUUAAGAUUGUUGGUGGUAAAAUUGUGGGGAAUGGCAAAUGUAGAGAAAUACAACAAUAAUGGUGGAACUUUAUUAUGUAAAGUAAUGUGUUUACAACUAACUCUGUAUGUAGGAAGAAACUGCAGAAAUUUUGUGUGCUUCAAGCACGUUACAAAUGUCGCUUUCCUUAAGACGUUAUUUUCCCCCACCAAUUGAGUGAUGCACAUGGGUUAAGCAAAUACGCCUCCAGGAUACAAUGAAGCACUUGUUUGUUUGCUUGAGUUGUGCAUCGAUGAAAGCAAACCAGAAUACUCUUGAAUGUUGCAAGCCUGCCAAGAAACAAUAUAUUGUUCCUGCAGAAAACAAUAUAUUGGAAUGUGAAUGCACAAAAGAAAUGAGUGUUUUGUGUUGAAAUUCGUACUAGAAAGGAAUGCUAAGAAAAGAGUGGUGUAUGAUCAUUCAUUUCAUUUCUAAAUGGCUUAAACAUGACCCCUAUUUAUAGAUAUACUUGUGCCCCCUCAUUUGGAUUGUCAUCUUUCAUGAUACCCCUUCAUUCAUGGCCAUUGGAUCUAGAUUUGAUUUUAAUCAAUGGUCCAAAUUGAAUAAUCACCAUUUCAAAUGAAAUGUCACCAUGAAAUGAUGCAUCUCUAAGUGAAAUGUUGCCAUGAAAAGUUAUAUCAUUUAGUAAAAAGAUACAUUUUCUACAAGACGCAAUUAAAUGGACAUGUCCUUACAACAAAAUAUCGUUUAAUUAGACAUGUCUUUAGUGAAAGGUACCUUUUCUAUAAGGCACAAUUAAUAGGACAUGUCUUUACCAUAAGACACAUUUAUUUUGAAAAUUUUCAACAACAAAUUGAUGCAUAUUAUACAUAAGAAAUGCCAAUCCGAAGACCAAAAGAUAAAAUCAUGGCUAGUUGUCAUGUGUUGGUAACUUUGGAAAGAAAGAAAGUGGAGAAAUUUUCAUACUCUGCAAAGAUACUUUCACCAAGAGAGAAGGCGGGAGAAAUUAUUACAUCAUAUAUAUACGAGAAAGGGAUUUAUUCGCAAAGAAAGUUACCCACAAACUUAUUUACAUACCCAAUUGAUCAUUUAGGUUCUUCAAUAACAAAUCUUUUCGUAAGAAAUCAAUAAUGGUAGUGAAAGUCGUCAUACUGUUGUCUUUCUCUAUUUUUCCAAGAUGAGUCUAGGAGCUUGCCAAAGAACCGAUGCUGUCCCAAUUUUCUGGAAGUUAAAAGUCAAAAAAGCCAAAGAACAGCACGACGCCUAUUUCAUUCUUGAUAGAGCCUAGUAAAGGGAAUGGGUAUUCAAAUAUAUGUGAUUCAUGAUGACUCACGAAGGCGAAAGUGUUAUCGAUGGGAUGGCUUCUGCAUCUAUCAAAAAGGUGAAUCAGAAGAAAUGUUGUGAUUUCUCCAGUCAUCGAAUCUUCCACAAUACAUCCAGCCACCUCCAUCGCCUGCAGUGAAAUGUCAUUCUAAUCUUCUUUAGGCAUCAAAGUUUAGUUUCUACUUAUGCCAAUUAGUACAAACCAAUAAUAAGACAAUAUAUUUUGCUUGCUUAGCAAGUUAAUGGUUAGUGAUUUCUCUUUACUGCUUAUCCUGUCUUUGGAAGUGUAAAUUCUUAUCUUCAGUGGUAUUUAGUUUCUUUAUAUUCCUAUCAAAUGGGUAGAGUACAUGAUACAACUUUUGAGUAGUUCUAAAUUUCCUCUGUUUUCAACUAGAAACCAACUGCUACUAGACAGACUUCAAAAUACUUGUUUGAUGUUGAGAAUCUAAAAAGUACUUGGCGCUUGACGGUAUGGACAAAGCCUACUAAAAAAUGCUGGAAAACCCAUGGAUGUUGUACUCCCCAAAAUAUUUCUUAGUCAAUAUCUUUGUUCUGGAAAACAAACAAAUAACGAGUGUACUGGUAUACAUCCAUAAAGCUAGCCUUUACAUGCAAUAUAUAUGUGAUUUUGGUUGGUCAAUAUUUCACUGUAAAGGUUAAUUAGUCUGUGUAAGGUGUUUGAUAUAUUCAACCAUGAGUUUGAUCAAAGGUCUCAAUGAGGAUCUUUGCAUCAACACCCAUCACCUCACUUACACACUCUCGACAAUGACUUGGCAUGAAGCAGUCACUGAGGACUGUACAGAUAAGACAGCAGCAAGCAGGAACUCUCUAAAUCAUCAUGGCUAAUCUCAAGGGUGGUAACAGGAGAAAUGAGAACCAUCAAUUGUAAAAGACAGCAAGUUACUAUUAGCCAUGGAACGAAUUAACAACCACAAGAUGUACUGAGCUCUUCCUGCACAGCAAGAAAUGUCCUUGUAUAUGUUAUGAUAGCAAUAAAUGAAAGAUUAAGUUGUGCACUAAUUGAUAUUUCUUUUUUUAGCAGAGUAGGGUUGUUCGUUGCUCGAUCUUUUACUGGCCACGCCAUAAUGUGGGGUGCUCAAAAUGGGGUUUUAUUUAAGAAGCAAGUUCUAUGUGUAUCUAUGAAAGCAAUUAUAAUUUUGUUCAUCCACUUGACAAAAAUAAGCCCAUCUUUGAGAGAAAAAAAUGUUAAAUGAUGUAAUAAAAUGUUUAGUAUUAUUAGUGAAGUAAUGAAAAUAUCAUAAAAUCAGAGUACAAUAUUUGGAAUGUCAACAAUACAAAUCUUUAAUUAUAAACAUGAUAUAAACCAAAAUCAUUGAUCAUCACAUUCUAAUGUCGCUGCUGAUUUCUGAUCGACAGUAGCUGAGUGAUCCGGAAUCUUGGCAAAAGCAGCCUCUCUGAUUUGAUUAGUCUGACGCUGUCGUUCAUCGCUGGCCAUCUCUUCAGAAAGCAUGGUAACAAGUGUCUCAGGCUUCACCUCUCCCAGAAGAAGCUUUCUUCUGAAAUCAGGAUUUUUCGGAUCCUUGACAUUGAACAAGAUUGCUCUGUACUGAACUGCCGCCUUAGUCCCUCUGGAAGGACCCAUGUUCUUGAACAGCAUAGAUUCAACAGCCACAGCAACUUCAACAGGGUCACAAGCUCUAACCUGUUCCUUCUUCUCCAUCUCUUCAACCUCGCCACCAACUUUAGACAAUGCCUCUACGAGACGUUCACGGAUCAGUGUACGUGUAACAUCAGAGCACUUGAUCUCCGCUGAUACAAUCUUCUGGUCUUGUUUAGGAUCCCAUUCUGAUUCCUUCUCCUCAACAGCAGAGCGAUCCGGAAUCUUGGCUAAAGCAUCCUCACUGAUUUGUUUAUUCUGACUCUGUCGUUCAUAGCUGGCCAUCUCUUCAGGAAGCACAGCAACAUGUGUCUCAGAGCGCUUGAUCUUCCCGGCUGAUACAAUCUUUCGGUCUUGUAGUGGUUUCUUCAUGAAAGGAAACGCAGCUUGGUCCUCUUCUUCAAAUCUUCUCUUUUUUGACGGCGGCGCUUGGCACUUCAUUGAUUCAGCACUUACAUGGUUCCCAAUUUGGUUUCUCGACAAACCCAUGAUAGUAAAACUCAAUCAAAAAGGGAUGGAUGAACGAUGCUUGCUUUCUUGAUUUUUCAAUUUUUUUUUUUUAACUGAAUGAAGAUAUCAAUUACAAGGAGAGCUAGAGCAAAGUGAAUUUUGAAAACAGCGUCGAUUAAGAAACUAUUGAGUAUUUAUAAAGAGACGAUUUGUUUUCCUUAUGAUAGUAGAAUUCAACAAGUUAGUUGCCUUCCUAAAUCGGUUAGGAAGCCUUUACACCGUAAAAGCUUUGAAGAUUUUGGCGCUAAUAAAACCCUAGCUGACCCAACGACCGUUAAAGUUAAGUCGGCUAAUUGGUAUUUUUAUUUUUCUGUAAUGAGUUUUAUUAUUAUUAUGACUCUGUUUUUAAACAACCUGUUUCUAUUUAAUUACUUGGGGAAUGGGUUAAAGAAUUUUAGAGUAAAGGGUACCCUUCUUAAUCCUAAUUGACUCAAUGUACCGAUGAGAUCAAGGUUUUGGAUUUUGGUACAGUUGAGAUCUUUCCACCUGAAUUUAAACAUUAAUUUUUAUUUUUUUAGUUUAGGACUUUAGGUUUGUUAAGAACAAAGAUUGUUGAUAGAUUUCCCUCGGAUAUGAAUCUGUGAAAGUGAAAUCCUAUGGCUCGGAUAAUUUGGAGGUAUGAACAUGUAAAUAUGAUUUAUAAAGAUAAAAUUGUUAUCGAUGGGAUGGCUUCUACCAAUAUUAUAUUAGGAAGACGCAUAAGAAGAGUUGAGGAAAAAAAAAACCUAUCAAAUAAAAGUUGAUGGUGCGUAGUAAGCAUGAAUCUUAAAUGUUAGUCUGUAAAAUUAGUAAAGAUAUUAUAAAUUUUUUAAGAUAUAAGUACGAGAUUAAUCAACUUAAUUUUUAAGUCACAUUAGUUUGUUUUUACUAAAUAUUUUAAUACUGUAAUUUUCAAGUUACAAUUGCUCAACCUUAAUAUGAAACAAGCCUUAAGUCAUCAAACCUUUCACAACAUAUACUGCCACCUCUUCCGCGUGCAGUGAUAUAGCAGCCUAAUCUUCUUUGUUAUGCAUCAAAUUGUUGGUGUUACCUAUGCCGAUAACUUACAUGCAAUAUAUUUGUGAUCUUGGUUGGUCAAUAUUUUACUGUAAAUAUUACCAUGCAAGGUGUUUGAUACAUUAAGUGUUUGACCAAAGGUUUCAAUGAUGAUCCUUGCACGAGCAUAUGCUGGAAAAUGACUUGGACUUGUAAUGUGUCUGUGCAUACCAUUGGUAAACGUUCUUGUAAUUUUCAGCCGCCUUUAAUUAGUUUGGUUGGAAGAGUUCCCACCAGAAUUCGGUUGCAUCUUACAAGAUGUUCUAAUGAAAUUCUUAGCUUUAGGAAGCCGGGGGGAGGGGGGGGGGGGGGGUGGGGGAGAGAAAAAAGGAGAGUUUACAGGCGGUCAAGCCUGAUCAUUUCAUCAAGGCAGUAGAUUAAUUAAUCAACAUUCUUAAUUUCGUAUAAUACACACGUUAGAGCGAUUCUAAGAAAAUUAGCCUAGUUACAAAUAAAAGCUCCAAUAUUAUUUACUGUAAUCUUGACUGGUGCAUGCCAGCAACAUGCAGCUAGCCCAGGGAUCAUUUUGUGGCAACUAGAUUCUAUAUGAAUCAAAUAAAGUACGAAGGAUUUUUUUUUUUUUGGUUUUUUUGCCCAUCAUUAGGGAGUAAAAAAUUGAAUGAUGAGAGACAAUGUGUAAUCAUAUGAUUAAUGAGGUAAUGAAAAUAUCAUAAUCUCAGUGUACAGUAUUUAAGAAUUCAACAAUACAAUCGGUUAAUUAAAAGACACGAUGUGAACAAAAAUCAUCGAGCAUCACAUUCUGAUUCCUUCUCAUCAACAGCAGAGUGAUCCGGAAUCUUGGCUAAAGCAUCCUCUCUGAUUUGUUUAUUCUGACUCUGUCGGUCAUCACUGGCCAUCUCUUCAGGGAGCAUUGUAACCAGUGUCUCAGGCUUCACCUCUCCAAGAAGGAGCUUUCUUCUGAAAUCAGGAUUUUUUGGAUCCUUAACAUUGAACAAGAUUGCUCUAUACCGAACUGCCGCCUUAGCCCCCUUGGAAGGACCCAUGUUCUUGUACAGCACAGAUUCAACCGAAACGGCUACCCCAACAGGGUCACAAGCACUAACUUGCACCUUCUUCUCCAUAUCUUCAACCUCGCCAGCAACUUUAGUAAAAGCCUCUAGAAGACGUUCACGGACCAAUGCACGUGUAGCAUCAGAGCAUUUGAUCUCCGCAGCAGACACACUCUUUCCUCGUUUAGGAGGCUGAGGUUCUCUUAGAGGUUUCUUCAUGAAAGGAAACGCAGGUUGUUCCUCUCCUUCAAAUUUUCUCUUCUUGAUGGUUCUUGAUGGCGGCGCCUUGAAUUUCUUUGAUUCAACAUUUACAAGGUUCUUAAUUUGGUUUCUUGACAAACCCAUGAUAAUAAACUCAAUCAAAAAUGGACGAACGAUGCUUGCUUUCUUGAUUUUUGUGGUUGGUUUUUUUGGAGAGGGGCUUAAUGAAUGAAGAAGAAAGUUGCAGUAAUAAGAAUCAGUCACGAACAGAGAGAGCAAAGUGAGUUUUGAAUACUUUUUGGUUAGGAAAUUACUACGUAUUUAUAGGAGAUGAUGAUUUCCAGAACUCACUUUUGUUUCCAAAAUUGUUUCCUUGCGACAGAAGAAUUCUACAAGUUAGUUGGCUUCAUAUAUCAAUUAGGAAACCUCAACACCGUUAAAGCUUUGAAGUUGCACGCUAAUAAAACCCUAGCUGGCCUAGUGACCGUUGCGGUUAAGUCGGCUAAUCAGUAUUAUUUAUUUUUAUUUUUCGGUAAAUAAAAAAUAUACAAGAAACGAGCCAGCCGUUAAUUAUAAGAUCAAGAUUUUGGAUUUUUGCGCAAACAAGAUCUUUGCAUCUGCAUUCAUAACAUUAGCUAAUUUUAUUGCGUGAAUUUAUUGAAACCUCAUACAUAAGCUUCAUAGACAACCUUGCCUAGGUUGAAAACAAUUUAUGCAUCAAAUUUUAGUUGUAAACUAUGCAAAUAAAUUGAGCAAUAUAUUUUGCUUGCUUUACAAGUUUUUUUUUUUUUAAAGUAAGGGGGUGGGCAAAGCCCAAAUAUAUUUUUUUAUUUUUUCUUCCUUAUUAUCCCCACGACUCGAACCCGGGCGUCAGCUAGUACAAGCUUGAUGCUAUUACCAACCCGACCACGGUCUUGGGGGCUUGCUUGCUUCACAAGUUGAUGGUUAGCUAUUUCUCAUUACUCUUUAUCUUGUCUUCAUAAAUGUAAAUUCUUAUCCUUUUUUUUUUUUAUCUCCUUACACGCCUGUCAAAUGGGGUACUAAUUUUGAGUUUCUACUGCGGCUUGUUGUUCAGAAACCAACUGUUAUUAUUCCACUUAAAGUACUUGGUUGAGCUUAAUCAUCUUCAAAGUACCUUUCUAAAUUGUUUCAAGUGAAGCUUGAGUUUUGCCCCAAAAUAAUCCAAAUUUGAGAUAUAAAUCUUGGUGUUUGAUGGUACGCACAAAGCCUACUUGAAAAUCCGUGGAUGUCGCACUUCCCACAAUCUUUAUUUCUCAAUAUCGUUAUUUCGAAAAAGUAAUAAUUAAGAAGUGUAUUGUAUGUAAUCAUGACAGCAACUCUAUAAAGCCAGCUUUGACAUGCAAUGUAUGUGUGAUUUUGGUUGGUUAACAUUCACUUGAAAUGUUACUGCAGAAGGUGUUUGAUGUAUUCAACAAAGUGUUUGAUGUAUUCAAUAAAGUGUUUGAUUAAAGGUCUCAAUGAGCAUCCUUGCCCCAGCACUCGUCACAUCUCUCAUAUCUGUCAAUGACUUGGCAUGAGACAGCACUUGCUGAUGAUCUGUUCAGAUGACACAGCACGUAGCAGGAAUUCCCUACAUCAUCAUGGAUAAGCUCAAGGAGGGUAACAAGACAAAUGAGAGCUGUCAUUUUUAAAGGACUACACAUAGCAAGCCCUUAGAUCAAUUUACCAUUAACCAUAGGACGAACUGACAGCUAUGAGAAGUACUGGACUUUUCUUGUAUAUUAAGAAACAUCCUUGUAUAUGUUAUGAUAAAAAAUGAAUGAACGAUUAAGUUGUUUGUGCAUUCAUAUUUCUUUCUUUUGGAAUGUACAAGUGUUGUUAUUUAGUUAGAUGUUUUACAGCCAAUCAACUAAGAGGGUACUCGAAAUGGGGUCUCAUUAAAGAAGCAUGAUGAAGAUGUAAAGAAGAGAGUAGCCAUAGCUGAAGCAGUUUUGGAGUCUUUCAGAGCAGUGUAAAUGGAUUGAUCAACAUUCCUAAUUUCUUAUAAUACAUUCAUUAAAGCAAGCCUACGAAAUAAGCUUAUUUGCAAAUAAAAGUCUAUAUUUUUCAAAUGUAAUAUUUACUGGUGAAUGACUGCAACAUCAGCUAGCCCAGAUGGUCAUUUUGGGGCAACAAAAAUCUAUAUGUAUCAAUGUAAGCAAUAUGAAAUUUUGUUUAUUCAAAUACAAGCACAUCUAUGGGAGGAAAAAAUUGAACGAUAUGAGACGACAUUUAAUAGUAUUAAUGAAGUAAUGAAAGUAUCAUAAUCUCAGUGUAAAAUAUUUGAAAAUCAAACAAUACAGUAUUAAAAAACAUGAUGCGAACCAAAAUCAUUGUGCGUCACAUUCUGAUUCCUUUUCAUCAACAGCAGAGUGAUCCGGAAUCUUGGCUAAAGCAUGCUCUAUGAUUUGUUUAUUCUGACUCUGUCGUUCAUCACUGUCCAUCUCUUCAGGGAGCAUUGUGACCAUUGUCUCAGGCUUCACCUCUCCAAGAAGAAGCUUUCUCCUGAAAUCAGGAUUUUUCGGAUCCUUAACAUUGAACGAGAUUGCUCUAUACCGAACUGCCGCCUUAGCCCCCUUGGAAGGACCCAUGUUCUUGUACAGCACAGAUUCAACCGAAACGGCUACCCCAACAGGGUCACAAGCACUGACUUGCUCCUUCUUCUCCAUAUCUUCAACCUCGCCAGCAACUUUAGAAAAUGCCUCUACAAGACGUUCACGGAUCAUUGUACGUGUAGCAUCAUAGCACUUGAUCUCCACAGCUGACGCACUCUUUCCUCCUUGUUUAGGAGGCUGAGGUUCUCUUAGAGGUUUCUUCAUGAAAGGAAACGCAGCUUGGUCCUCUCCGUCAAAUUUUCUCUUCUUGAUAGUUCUUGAUGGCGGCGCCUUGAAUUUCUUUGAUUCAACACUUACACGGUCCUUUAUUUGGUUUCUUAACAAACCCAUGAUAAUAAACUCAAUCAAAAAUGGAUGAAUGAUGCUUGCUUUCGUGAUUUUUUAUGUUCAUUUCUUGUUUUUGGGGGGCUGAAUGAACGAUGAAGGAAUGGGCAAUGAAAGAAAUCAAACCACUAACAGAGCGAGCAAAGUGAAUAUUGAGUACCUGGUUGAUUAGGAAAUUUACUUAUAGAAGAUACAAUUUUUCAAAUUCUUUCUCCCUAUGAUAAAAGAAUUCAACAAGUUAGUUGCAUCCUAUAUCAUUUAGGAAACCUCAACACAGUUAAAGAUUUUGGCGCUAAUAAAAAACUAACUGGCCCGGUGACCGUUAGAGUUAAGUCGGCCAAUUAAAGUUAUUAACAUGAUUGCGGACUCUACUUUUCAACAACAUAUUUUAAUAUUUUUAUUUAAUUACUUGGGGAAAGGGUAAAUGAAUUUUAGAGUAAAAGAGUAAAUUCUCAUAAACAAGAAACAUAACAACAAAAUUCGGUUAUUAUUUUUAUUUCAAGUUAUGAAGUUAUUUUAUGGAUUUAUUGAUCUCUUUCAGAUAUAAUUCUCGAUGAUAGUGAAAUCCUCGAGUUUUGAUUGUUUGGAUCCAUAAUUAGAGCUCAGAUUGUUGGAUCAUGGAACUUAAGCUGCGUAGACACUCUUACCCAAGUUGAGAACAAUUGAUAGAGACUUAAGUAGGAAGAAAUUAACUGCAAUGUUUAUUUUUGCAAUUAUCGCAUAGGAAAAGUGAAAUUGCAAUGUGAUAAACAAUGGUAGAAUGCGUGGGUACCGUAUGCCUAGAUAAAAUAAUUCAUGACUGUUUUUUAGAUUUUUAUAAUUGAUCAAGAGAUAAGAUUUAAUUGUAGGUAUUUUUCAAGCCUUCUUAAUUAUAUUGUAAAAGGAAAAAAUGGUGUAUAAGUUCUAAGCAAUGGUGUGGAUAUCUUUAUUUGUUAUCAUCACACCUUAAAAUAGAACUUUAUUCAAAUUUAUUGAUCAGUUGGAACUUCCCUUAUAACAAUAUUUUUUCUUACUGUUUAGAGACUGUAUAAACAAGGACAUACAGUCUAUAAAUACUCAACACUUUUUGCUUUUAUGUACUAUACUUUUAUUCAUUGGAUGGAAAAUUGAAGUGUCAUUAUUAAUUCUGUGCAAUUAUAUUGAUUUCGUAUGAAGAUGAUGAGAAGUUUGUUCUUGAUUGUAGCUUUACUGACAAUUGGAUUGAUAUUACUUGUUUCUUAUGAAAAUGGUUAGUUUAUUUUAUAGAAUUUUUAAUCCGGUUAUGUGAUUACUUAUCCUUAAUCACAUAUACUGAUUAUUUUGUAAUUUUUUGUUUUAGGGGCAAGAUUUGGUGGGAGUUCAGUCUAUUCUGCGGAAACUUCAAAUUUCGAACAAAUCACUACUACUUUUCCCAUUUUGCAGCGUAAACUUCUAGUUGCUGGUCUGUGUCAUGCUACAUAUGAUACUCCAAUUAACAUUAUUACAAUACUUUCUUAACAAUGAUGUUGUGAAUUAAUCUGGACAAAUUCAUAUGCAGGAAAUGCCGAGAACCCAAAUGAGUAUGUGAAUGUUAAAAUAUAAGAUUACACAAGGCCAACUGCAGAGCCAACUUAUGAAGUGAUGGGUUUGUUCAUAUUCAUCUCAACUGUGACUUUUGUAGUGUGAUGGGUUCAGCUCUUCAAAUUAUUAUUGACAGUAUUCAGGCAUUUUCCCAACUCGAAUAUUUGUGCCGUAAACACCGCGAAAACCUCUUAAUUUUGGCCCUAUAGUACCAUUUCGAUAAGAAAAUAGUAUGGCAUCAUAUGUUGUACUAGUGAUUUGAUUUAAGAGUUUUCUGCAGCCUUGAAUGAGAAUGAUUAUGACUUAUGAAGAAAUUUUGGCUUAAAUGCAUCGCUCCGAAGAUAAAAACUACACGAAAUUUUCAAAAAAUUCAACAGUUUGCAGAUAAAAUGAUUCUUAUUUUUCCAGAGUGGUAAGUUCUUAAACAAUGAUGGUUACUGCAUCUUGCUAUAGCCAUGUAUGUUACAUCUUGCUGUGGCAGAUAAAUAGAAAGAAUGAUGUUAAAGUGACACAAAUUUUAUUUCGCCUGGCCAAGCUCAACAUCCUUUGCUGGGGAUUCUUCAAUUCUCUGCGUCAACAAUUCCACAUGCUCUUCCAAAAGGUUGUUUUUUGUAUGACCGAUGGUCUUGGAAUCGGGUUUCCUUUUCUCAGCCUCGACUGCCCAACUGUAUACUAUCAUGCCAAGAACAGCUACCGUCAUCCCUAAUAUGUUUUUCACUGUCAG